GACGAACGCUGGCGGCGUGCUUAACACAUGCAAGUCGAACGGAAAGGCCCUUCGGGGUCCUCGAGUGGCGAACGGGUGAGUAACACGUGGGUGAUCUGCCCUGCACUUUGGGAUAAGCCUGGGAAACUGGGUCUAAUACCGAAUAUGAUCAUCGGCUUCAUGGUCGGUGGUGGAAAGCUUUUGCGGUGUGGGAUGGGCCCGCGGCCUAUCAGCUUGUUGGUGGGGUAAUGGCCUACCAAGGCGACGACGGGUAGCCGGCCUGAGAGGGUGACCGGCCACACUGGGACUGAGAUACGGCCCAGACUCCUACGGGAGGCAGCAGUGGGGAAUAUUGCACAAUGGGCGCAAGCCUGAUGCAGCGACGCCGCGUGAGGGAUGACGGCCUUCGGGUUGUAAACCUCUUUCAGCACAGACGAAGCGCAAGUGACGGUAUGUGCAGAAGAAGGACCGGCCAACUACGU
rnacentral:rRNA from 1 species